AAGACCCAAUAUCUAACAAAGCAAUCUAACAAUAAUUUCUAUUAUGAAAAUAAGUCGACUUAAUUUAAUCCCCAAAAUCAGAUUGUCACGUGCACAAGCCUCUAAUGUAAAUAUUAGAAUUGAAAUAAAAUACAAGUCUAAAAAUGAAGUUGUCUUUCAAGUAAAAACAAAAUCAUAAACUGGAGUAGGAAAGUUCGCUGACAUGACAAGCAGCUAUGUCACAAUUCUCCACAAGAUGCCUCAGAAACGAAGAGAAUGGAAGGUAUCACGAAAAUUCGGGCUCAGAACCUACAAAAAUUUGUAGAAGAAAGGGGUGAGUACCAAACCACGCGGGUACCCAACAAGCAAACCUCUAAGCACAAGUUAAGGGAACAAAAUACGGGUACUCCAUACACCCAAUCUGAACCUCCACACUACAAACAACUCACAGUUUACCAAACACACAACUCAAUAACCACACUCUAUUAGUUACAUAUUCUCAAUAACAACUCCACAUUCAACAGUCAUAAUUUUCACAGUGAAACACUAAAAAGAUCAGCAACACACGUAUUCAAGUUCAUCAAUAAUAAAAAUGUGUAAUGUCAUGAGAUGCAAUGUCAAGUAUAGUGAUGUGUGUCUUCCCUAACGAUACAUACCCGCUGUCACUCAGUUUGGAACCAUGGGGGACAUAUCUGUCCAUGCAUCUUUCGCGGCGCACGACACGACAUUCGAUAAUAGUAACCAUCGCGGCACGCGAUACGUCGGCGCACGAUACGACACUCGAAAUGGUACAUUCUCUUAUCACAUAACACUUAUUACAAUCAUGUCUCGGAUGCAAAAUGACAUGCUCAAAUGAAAAUGAGGAGAUAACCAUUUUGAUAUCAACACACACUUUACAAUAAGGAAUACAGCACCAACAAAUAAACAAAAAGUCUCCAAAUCAUUCUCAACACCAUACAAGGAAAUACACGAAUUUUAUACGCUUAACAAAAGUUUAGAAAUUCACUUGCCUUAGUCAAUCGAAUAAUUACUCUUGGACUUGAGCCUUCCCUUUCCAUUGAGCUUCCGAAACAAUGAAAUCUAUUCAAGUAUAUAUUCAAAAUAAGUUUCAGAACUAACAACACUCACACUUUUAUGUGUUUAAUCUUAACCUUAAAAAUUCACCAAAAUUUAUAAUCAGGUUCUUAAGUUUCAAGCUUAUGGUUAUGUUUCAAUUCUUUUUUUUUUCAAUAUCAUAAUUCGAAUUUGUAUGAGUCAAUAGAUAUAAUAUUUAAUCACCUAUUCUACAUACCCAAACUUUACACAUAAUGUGAUAAUAAUAAAGUUUUACCAAAUAACUAAUCACUCACGGAACUAACACAACCUUAAAAUCCCAAAAAAUUAUUUGCACCCACCAUAUCCACUCUUCCUAAUUACUAUCCACACAUGCACAUCAGUCAACAAAGAUUUUCAGAGUAGCCUAUUUCCUUUCAAUCCAUUUAUGACCAACAUUUAUUAUUAUUAUUUUUUGUUUUCCCAAUGAUCCAAUAAUACACAUAACAUUAAUAAUAAACAAAUCAUUAAAUUUCCAAUUUAAUAAUGUGUCAAUUAGAAAUCAACAAAAAAAAAAUUUAAUCACCUACAAUAUUUUCCAUUUACAUUAGUUCAUAUUCCCAGACAAUCACCACCCAUGAUUAAUUUUUCUUUUAACAACAACCACAUAAUUACAAAAUAAAUAACUAAUAAUUCUAAAAUAGGUAAUUAAGUCUUCUUUAUCUUUCUACCCAUCAUAUACCAACAUUGCUAUAUAUAAAAUUAUAAUAUUGUGUAUUCACGAAGGCAAUUCAUCCAAAAUUUCCAAUUAUUAAAAGUGCAUACCUGCACUUGUGAUCGACGCCGCCACCGGUCAGUUUUCGUUCCGUUUCUCCUUAUUUUCUUUCAACAGCCGCACACUCUCUUUCUCUUUUCUAAAUUA
rnacentral:lncRNA from 1 species